GGGGAAUUGGAUGUACUUGUCCAUCUAGGGACAAAUGACUUGGCUUGCAAUGAGGUUUCAGAGGUUAAGGAAGUUUUUAGUGUUUUUGCCAAUGAUAUACGGCAGGUUGCUUCCACACUGUCAUUCUCUGAAGUUCUGCCUGUGCAUAACACUCAGAACGAGAGGCGGAUGCGUAUUAGGGACUUUAAUUUGUGGCUUGGUGAAUGGUGUCAGGAGCAAGGAUUUGGCUUUAUUUCUCAUGGUAGCUCUG